CGGGCUCGGCAGCUGGGAGCGACCGGGGGAGGCCCCUCGGCUACUUACCUGGGGGGAAGACAGCCGGGAUCCCGGGGGCCCGGGCCGGACCGCGGAGAUGCCCCAAACUGACACGGCCGCCAUCUUGGAGACAGGAGCAGGAAACCCAAAGUGAGUGAAGACCUGAGUAUGCUGUUGACAAUGACAUGGCUAUUUCAAGGUCCAUACAGCCUCAGACUGACAGAGGAAUGGCAAGGCCUUCCUCAGAUAGGGUUUCACUGUGUAGCACAGGCUAGCCUCAGGUGGACAGAGAAGCUCUGGACGGGAAAGCUGACUUGCUACAACACCUGAUAAGGCGAUCCACAUAUCAACCCCACUGGCGUCUGUCGCUUCCAGACUGCAGUUGAACUGACUUGCAGGUGGAGUUUUCCAUCCUAUAAAAUCCCAAGACCCCAUACCACAUACACAGUCUCACUUCCAGGGAGAGACUGUGGCGUCAGCUGUUCUGAUUUAAGAAAAAUUCUCUUUCGGGAGACGCCCAUUGUUCUUUCCAUGUGGCCUGGGGCAGGCUGGCCCUCUGGCUCUGACUGGGAAAAUAAGAUCACAGCAGCCCAAAUUCAUAUCUCGUCUUAGAACUGGCCUGCGGACAUUUUUUCGGAAGUUAUUCUGCUACUCUGACAGAACCCUGCACUGUGAUUCAGCUACUGUACCAGAUUCGUGUACAGUCUCGGCUUCCUUUUGCCAAGACCAAGCCACCUUUCCCCUGUAUCUUUAUUUUUCUCUAUUUUGUGCCUACCUGCCUGGGUCAUAGAUACCAACUCCCUCUAUACUCACACUAACCUACCUACCCAAAAAGUCUUUUUAAAGAAAAGGGCACAACAAUCCACAUUUGAUCUUCAAAAUAAAGGGUUCCACAAGGACUUGCAAUGCCGUGAUGGGGAACGGGCUCACUUUAACACAGGGCUGACUUCACCUUUAGCAGAAAACUGGGGGACUUCAUCAAAAUAAAGGCAGCCUUCUUGAUAAUGAUAUAAAAAAGAAUGCAAAAGAUGACAGGCGGGGGUGGCGCAGGCCUUCAGUCCCAGGACUCGGGAGGCAGAGGCAGGCGAUCUCUGUGAGUUUGAGGCCAGCCUGAUUUACAAGAACUAGUUCCAGGACAGCCUCCAAAGCCACAGAGAAACCCUGUCUUGAAAAACAAAAACAAAAAAAGCAAAAGACUCGUGACUUCACUACCAUCUUAGCUAACCUCGGCACCCAUAAAACUUCACGGUGCUCUGGGGAUCACCUCGCCCCUUUUAUAUUAGACUAAGGAAAAACUACCAGACCUCCAACGUGGGUUUGGCUUUUGUCUUGUUUCUUUCUUUCUUUCUGUUUUUUUUUUUUUUUAACAUUGAUACAGUUUUUACAUGACACAGUUACUGACUUGUAAGGAGAACCUAAGUUUUCCUGGCCACAAGCCUCCAGCACUGGUGUACUAACACAGGGAUCUGACCCUAUGAGAGUCACAAAUCCCAACAGAGACUCAAAGCAUAAAUGAUAGAUAAGCUGCGGCCAGUGAGGAGCUGCCUCAGUGGACAGUGCCAGUCCCCAUGCCUGCUGUGCUGCGUCCCCAUGCCUGACGCCUCUGCCUAGGGGCACCAGGCCGCUUUCCCUCUGACUGAGAUAAAAUAUUUUAUCUCUCACUGAGAUAAAAUUGUCCUUUGCUUCACACGUGUCUGGUUUUGUUUCUGCCCAACCUAACAGUGUUUCCUUUUAAGUUUCCCUUUCAUAGUGAAAACUAUAAAUAUAAUCACAAGGUACAAUAAUGUUCAAAUAAUGGUUUAUUAAAAUAUAUCUCAUGUGUGAUUAUGUACAUAUAGACUCUUUGUCCAUUUGUGAUUACGGUUUGUUCAUAGUAAAAGUAAAAAUUAAAAUAGUAAUAAUGAUAGUACUCACUUUGGCAGUAUACAUACUAAAACUGGAACACCACGGAGAAGAUUAGCAUGGCCCUUGUGCAAGAAUGACACGCAAAUUUGUGAAGCUUUCCAUGUUUUUUGUUACUGUACGCGGUGUGAACUCAUGAGAACUGUACUUACGUGGCCUUAACCCUCACAGUAUAAAUUGUCUGAGACUCCGAGUAAAGUUGGCUAUUGAAUGAAAAUGAUGAUGAUGAUGGCUGGUGGUCCUAAAUCUUUCUCUGGAGCAAUUAAUGCAAGUUUUUUUCUGUUUAAAUCUGCUUCUAAGGACAGGACAUACAGAAUCAUCAUUUCCAGUUCUACAACAAGGUCCUUAUCGCUUGAGGGCAUGUAUUGAGAAAUGAUCCAGGACACAUUUUUAUUGGUGAACCGCCCUCCCUUUAAAUAAGAAUAGCUCAUACCUGUGCCUUUGAAUGUGCUUUGUGUGUGUGUGUGUGUGUGUGUGUGUGUGUGUAUUUAAAUGUUUUAAAGACACUUUGACCACUAUGGCCCAUGUAAGAACAAAUAAAUGAGCCAGCACAGGAUGAGACUUCUUUCCUUGUCUACUUCACCGCUGUGGUGUCUAUCCACGUCUGAGAAAAGCAUGCUUAAGUACUUCUUAGUAUUUAAUAUUUUCUUAAAUGCUGAGGCCAGGUCUAAAAGCUGUUCUUGUCAACUACAGAGCGCUGUCUUUUUGGAAGAUCACAUCCCACAAAUACAAUGCAUUUUUUCACACCCUAGCCACCCAUGUUCCCUCCCACUUUUCACCUUGGCCACUUGUUUUUUUCUUAUCCUUAUUCUUACACUUUCACCCUGCCCUUUAACACUUUGGACCCAGCUCCCUUAAAUGGCCCGUGAAAGCUCAGCCAGUGGCUCUCACCCUACAGCAGCCCCAUUAGUUCCUGAUACAGCCACAGGAAGACCUUUUGGAUGCUGCAGAAGAGGCUCUGGUUGUAAGGAACUUUCAGCCCUUUUACCCCAGACACAAGUACAAUGCCUUACAUUAGCCCUCUGUUUCCCCCCAGCUCCCUUCCUCCAAGGCACUGCAGGCCCUGUUGCUUCUGAUAACCUACUUUUAGGGAACUAGCUAAGGAUCCAUAGUCCUCUCAAGCUUUGUAUAACAACUGAGCCAUUCCCCUCCUCCACCUUCCUGGGACAAUCUCUCCCUCUCCCUCUGUAUCCAAAUCAUCUGUUUCCAGCACUCUAACAAUUACUUUUCAAAAGUUCCUCUCGGUCCUAGAAGAGUCUGGGAGCACAUGACAACAAUCAUAGGAUCCACUGAUGAAGUCAAAACUCUCCACCAACCCAACCUCUGUCCCCUUGGGUCCUGGGGACAAAGUCUAGACACCUCCCCAUCAACUUCUUCCCCCAGGAAGUAGCCAACAAAAGAAUACUUUGUCCCCUUCUCUUUUAUCUGUCCUUGGCGUCUGGAGUGAGGGUCAAUGACCUAAAAGCCUCAGGUGUACUGAGAAGCUCAGGACAGGAUAGUUGACUUGACUGAUAACACUGGUGGAAGCCACUGAUAAGGAGAUCCACAUACCACCCCUGCUGGAGUUUCCAGACUGCUAGGGGACUGACUUGCAGAUGGAAUUUUCCAUCCCCAAAAUCCCCCUUUCUCCAUACUUUAAAACCCCACUACCGUACUGUGCAUGUGCAUACUCCAGGGCCAGCCGGCGACUUGCACUGCUCUGAUUAAGGAACAAUUCUGCAUCUGGGGAUGCUUGUCUCUAGCUCAUUUCCAUGUGACCUCUGUGAGUCCCUAUCUGACAAAAAUAUCUUACUUACAAAUACGAAUCUAAAUCUGAAACAUAAACCCUAAAUCUGUAGAAUUAAAUACAACACGGAGUACCAGAUGGAUUUUAAAAAUAUUCCCCCAAAACAAAUCCCUCAAACAAGUUCUUGAGUGUAAAGGAAGAGAAAAUAAUUCUUUAAACAUUCAGGAAAGAUUUUUUAAGGAGGCUAUAUGACACCGUGUCCUAUAGAAUAUGACUAAACUAAAAUUCUAACUUUUAAAUUGUGAUCAAUAUUAUAGCUGGGAAAGAUGCUGUUCAUGUACAAAAUCAAUAGGAGGAUGUUCUUGAACUUGGAAAAAUCUUAGGUAGUUUAAAACCAUGAUAUUAGCCCACAGAUCUUGAGUGAGGGUUUUCCAAAACAAAGGGAGUUAGUAAGCUAUUACCGAUGACAACCAGAAAGGAACGUGGUCAAGGGACUGCUUACCAGUGGUCUUUCAUUCUACUGGAAUAAUAUUCGAGAGCAGGGAAAGAGUAGCCCCUCUUAGAGUUAGCAACUACCCUUCCAGCAAUGGGAGCUAGCAGCCCUCGACAUCUCUCCAUUGCUCCCACUCUUGGACCAGUCCACAGACAAACCAUGGAUAUGUAAAACAAAACCAUCCAAAACAUAUUUCAUUUGCUAAGGCAGUGGUUCUCAACUUGCCUUAUGCUGUAACUGCUUAAUACAGUUCCUUGUGUUGUGGUGACCCCCAACCAUAAAAUUAUUUCAUUGCUACUUCAUACCUCUAAUUGUGUUACUGAUACGAAUCUGUGCUUUCCGGUGGUUUUAGGUGACCCCUGUGAAAGGGUCCUUCGACCCCCCCAAAGGGGUUAUGACCCCCAGGUUGAGAACUGCUGAACUAAGGGGAGAAGAAUGCCAACUGUAUAAACAAAAGGUGACCUUACACAAAGUGCUCUUCCUGCUGACCCAGUUUGUGAAAGCUAUAGACCUCACUUGUCUGGUGUUUUCCAGAAUGGUAGGACUGUUCCUGAACAUGAAUGGGUAGGGCUGCUCUUGAACUUGAAUGGGGAGAUCUGAAACUUUUGCACAGGGCAGGAUCAUCUAAAGAGAUUAUGGGAUAUUUGGUGCUAUCAUGAUGUCAAAGGGAAAGAAGAGAAAAAUAAAGAGAAGAAAGGAAGGAAGGAGAGAAGGAAGGAGC